rnacentral:rRNA from 1 species
UACGAAGGGGGCUAGCGUUGCUCGGAAUCACUGGGCGUAAAGGGUGCGUAGGCGGGUCUUUACGUCAGGGGUGAGAUCCUGGAGCUCAACUCCAGAACUGCCUUUGAUACUGAAGAUCUUGAGUUCGGGAGAGGUGAGUGGAACUGCGAGUGUAGAGGUGAAAUUCGUAGAUAUUCGCAAGAACACCAGUGGCGAAGGCGGCUCACUGGCCCGAUACUGACGCUGAGGCACGAAAGCGUGGGGAGCAAACAGG